AUCGAAAACAAAACACAACAAAACAUUCUUCACAAACACCACAAACAUGUCCAACCUUUUGAACAAAGCCAAAGAUGUCUUGGGCAAGAGCGGCAGCAGUGGCAGCGGUCACACCGAGGGUGGACAGCAGCAGUCCAGCAUUGAGAAGGGCGUGUCCGGACAGGCUCACACUCAGAUCGACAACUUGACCGACAGGGCCGGCCUUGGCGACAAGUACGACGACAAGAUCAACAAGUUCGCCGAUGGCCAGAUCAACAACCAGAUCCCCGGCGGAGCUGGCAACAACGCCGGCGGCAGCGGUGGACUCGGU
rnacentral:misc_RNA from 1 species